CGCAGCUCUAACUUCGUGCGAUAAGUACUAAUCUUAAAUGGAUAUUCGUGUUUCGUGUUGUAAAUUCGUAAUACCGCGUUAUAUUUGCUGUAUUGUGUGAUUGUAAAUAAUAUUUUAGAGUUGUGCGAACCAUUUUUGUCUUCAGCAGAACACGACGGGCGGCUAUUCUACCUGUAUCUACUCGCAUUUGAUUUACGGCGUUUGAUACACUGCUUUUGUCCACCAAACAAAAUAUUACUUAAAACGAAGCCAUCUGGUGGCGAAACGGAGUUCACCGGAUUUGCUAGUGUUAAAUAAAAACAUAGUUGGACUCAUACCCUAAAUAAUUAUAAUACGGAAAAAAUAGAUAAAGUUUCAACGUCUAGUACACCGAUGGAGACUGAAGAAAUCACCACGCUCAACAUGAUGGAUCCCUACAGCGCACAUUCCUUCAA